ensembl:lncRNA
GUGUGUUGGGUAUUAUUGUGCUUAUUUUGCAGUGUAUCCAAAUAUCAAAUCAUUAUGUUGUACAUUAUGUUGAAACUCAUGUAAUAUUAUAUGUAAAUUAUAUCUCCAUUAAAUAAAAGAGCUCUUAGUUUCAAAACAAAAAGAUGUACAACAAGCUAACGGUGCUAGUGCAUGACGUGCAGUCGGCUUUCAAACAUUAGAAUUUAAGUAGUGAGUGAGCAUUCGAAGGUCUCUUGGAGCAGAUGAUGCAUCACUUUCAUGAAAAAGUCAUUGACGUGGUAGCAACCAACGGAAACAGAAUUGCACGCAGCUGUCAGUUGUAACCGGUUUGAUUCUCAUUGGUGUAACUCUUCACUAUCAAGAUGCUGACACUGCUUGGCGCUGUGUUUCUCGAGUUUGCUCCCUGGACCAUCUAUAUCAGAACCACUCGGGACCCAGCCCUUAUCUGAGGUGUCAGGACUGAAAUGUCUGUUUUGGUGAGAGCCCCCACGAGGCAGAUAGUGGUGAGAACAGCCUUCAGCACUCAGCCAUCCGGCCUCCUCACGCCCCACUGUUACCCAGGCAACACGCCCUGCGCAGCCAUUGGCCAGCGCCUCACCGGGCCCCACCCACAAGGAGCACGCCCAGUCCUGCUCAGCUCUGGGUGGGGCCGCAGCGGGCCUGCCCGCAGGUAACGAGCUGCCGAGGAGGGGCUGUGAGUGAGGGGAUGCGGCCAAUAGCUGGUCAUCAGGUGGACAGUGAGUGAGAGGCAGCUUCAGGCCUCCUCCCGGAAGCCCUCCGGCUCACCUCAACUUGGGCCAGCGGCGCUGGGGGCCCAGGUAACAGGUGGGGUCGUGCUCUGCGGGGCUCGGGAGCCUCACCAAGGACCCCCGGCGGGCCCAGGCCUUGAGGCAGCGACGAACCUCUUCCCCGCCCCUGUUUCUGCAACCUACCAGCGGUGGCCGUCUUGCCGGGUCCGUCUGUGGGACCCGGUCCCCCCACCCCAUAUGGGCAGCCUGUGGGAACCCGGCCCGGGGGAGCUGGCGUCUGAGUCUGCCUCCUCUCAGCCAGGACCGGGCCCCUGGAGGGCGAACGCUGUGCCCUCGAGACCUCGCCCUUCCUCGUCAGGACAGAGCAGUACAUUCGUUUGAUCCGUUUCGCUUCUUCGGCAGAGAGUGGGGAGGAGAGGAAAAGGUGGGGAUACAGACACGCAUCUCGUGGGGCACUAUGGCUCUGCCGCCUGCACAACCACAGUGCUUAGAGAACCAAACCUCUAGAGGAACGUGGAACUCUCAUUCCUAGAAUAAUAUCACCACACACACAACCACACAGAGAAACCCCAAAACGUGUCAUUCUGCGCUGUUCUGGAUAUGGGAGAGUCCUGUUUGUGAGCAUAAUGGUGAUGACGGUGGUUUAAUCACUAAGUCGUGUCCGACGCUUGUGAUCCCGUGGACUGUAGCCCGAUAGGUCCUCUGUCUAAAGGAUUCUCCAGGCAAGAGCACUGGAGUGGCUGCCAUUCCCUUCUCCAGGGGAUCUUCCCUACCCGUGGAUCA